CCCUUGUCUGAGAAAGCUCCUCUUGAAGACUGUAGACCAAGCGGCACCCACUUUCGCACACCUCACAGUUGAUGACCAAGAUUUCCAAAAAGUCAACUCGCCCUGUAUACCGCUACAAUCUAUCCCAUUUAUUGAUAAAGUGCAAGAGUUCUAGGAAGGGACCAGCUUAGGGACAGCAUCUGUCUGUCUGGGAAGUCUACCGUGCGGAGAUGUGGUGGGUUAGCCACCUCGGGAUACCCAUGGAGUGAAGUGUUCGAGUGCCCAGCGGACAGAUGAGUUAGCCAAUUAGGGACAGACGAAGGGACAGCUUUGCACUUUGCAAUAACACCUAGCUAGCGGGUCACGGGGUUUCUGUGCCUUUGGGCUAACAC